rnacentral:tRNA from 1 species
GCUCCCGUCGUUCAACGGAUAGGACACCAGAUUGCGGAUCUGGCAAUGUAGGUUCGAUUCCUGCCGGGAGCA